rnacentral:rRNA from 1 species
UUAGUGGCGGACGGGUGAGUAACGCGUGGAAAACCUGCCGUAUACUGGGGGAUAACACUUAGAAAUAGGUGCUAAUACCGCAUAAGUGCACAGCUUCGCAUGAAGCGGUGUGAAAAACUCUGGUGGUAUACGAUGGUUCCGCGUCUGAUUAGCUAGUUGGUGGGGUAAUGGCCUACCAAGGCAACGAUCAGUAGCCGGCCUGAGAGGGUGAACGGCCACAUUGGGACUGAGACACGGCCCAAACUCCUACGGGAGGCAGCAG